ACUUUUAUAGUUUAAUAAAACAUUACAUUUUCAUUGUAAAAUUAAAAUUUUUAUUUUUAUAAGUA
rnacentral:tRNA from 1 species